GACGAACGCUGGCGGCGUGCCUAAUACAUGCAAGUCGAACGAGAGCGACCGGUGCUUGCACUGGUCAAUCUAGUGGCGAACGGGUGAGUAACACGUGGGUAACCUGCCCAUCAGAGGGGGAUAACAUCCGGAAACGGAUGCUAAAACCGCAUAGGUCUUCGAACCGCAUGGUUUGAAGAGGAAAAGAGGCGCACGCUUCUGCUGAUGGAUGGACCCGCGGUGCAUUAGCUAGUUGGUGAGGUAACGGCUCACCAAGGCCGUGAUGCAUAGCCGACCUGAGAGGGUGAUCGGCCACAUUGGGACUGAGACACGGCCCAGACUCCUACGGGAGGCAGCAGUAGGGAAUCUUCCGCAAUGGACGCAAGUCUGACGGAGCAACGCCGCGUGAGUGAAGAAGGUUUUCGGAUCGUAAAACUCUGUUGUUAGAGAAGAACAAGUGCUAGAGUAACUGUUAGCGCCUUGACGGUAUCUAACCAGAAAGCCACGGCUAACUACGUG
rnacentral:rRNA from 1 species